rnacentral:rRNA from 1 species
AACGAACGCUGGCGGCAUGCCUAACACAUGCAAGUCGAACGAGACCUUCUGGUCUAUUUGCGCACUGGUGCGUAACGCGUCGGAACCUUCCCUUAUGUUCGGAAUAACUCCCCGAAAGGGGUGCUAAUACCGGACAAUUUCUUCGGACCAAAGAUUUAUCGCCUUUGGAUGGGCCCGCUUUGGAUUAGCUAGUUGGUAGCGUAAAAGCCUACCAAGGCGGCGAUCCAUAGCUGGUAUGGGAGGAUGAUCAGCCACACUGGGACUGAGACACGGCCCAGACUCCUGCGGGAGGAAGAAGUGGGGAAUAUUGGACGAUGGGCGAAAGAAUGAUCCAGCCAUGUCGCGUGAGUGAUGAAGGACUUAGGGUUGUAAAGGUCUUUUAACCGCGAUGAUAAUGACAGUACCGGGAGAAUAAGCUACGGCUAACUACGUG